GGAAUAGUGUCAAUGGCGUGGAAGAGACGGGUCUUCUCUUUGGAGUCUUUUAUGUAGGUUUCAAGGAGGAGGCUGUACAUCUCGGAGUGAAUGUUCUCGAUGGCGAUCUGAAAGCCGUAGAAGGCGCGGGCCUCGGAGACCUGGACCUCCUUCAUGAAACGGCCGGCAAGGUUUUCAAGGACGAUGCCAUCGGAGGCGGCGAAGAAGGCGAGGACGUGGGUGAUGAAAUGGCGCUCGCCAUCGGUUAGAGUCUCCCAAUGCCGGAUGUCCUGCGAGAGGUCGACCUCCUCCGCCGUCCAGAAAGAGGCUUCAGCUUUCUU
rnacentral:lncRNA from 1 species